rnacentral:rRNA from 1 species
AUACGGAGGGUGCAAGCGUUGUUCGGAUUUAUUGGGCGUAAAGCGAGUGUAGGCGGUUUGACAAGUCGAAUGUGAAAUCCCGAGGCCCAACCUCGGAACUGCAUCCGAAACUGUCAGGCUAGAGUCCCGGAGAGGAUGGCGGAAUUCCCGGUGUAGGGGUGAAAUCCGUAGAUAUCGGGAGGAACACCAGUGGCGAAGGCGGCCAUCUGGACGGUGACUGACGCUGAGACUCGAAAGUGUGGGUAGCCAACAGGAUUAGAAACCCUAGUAGUCC